rnacentral:lncRNA from 1 species
ACGCCGUUGAGGAGAAGUGGGAACGGAGGGAAGGUAACGCCAGUGAGGAGUGGGAACGGUGGGAAGGUGACACCGGUGAGAAGUGGGAACCGCAGGAAUGUAACGCCGUUGAGGAGAAGUGGGAACGGAGGGAAGGUAACGCCAGUGAGGAGUGGGAACGGUGGGAAGGUAACGCCAGUGAGGAGUGGGAACGGUGGGAAGGUGACACCGGUGAGAAGUGGGAACCGCAGGAAUGUAACGCCGUUGAGGAGAAGUGGGAACGGAGGGAAGGCUCCGGAGCAGAAUGGUCAUCAUGGACAGGCCGCCGGCUGCUGGGCUGUGACUGUUCUGAGGCUGAAAUGGGCAAACAGCCUUGCCUCCUCUCCACCUGCAGCUGCAAGCCUGGACAGUCGAGGCACCCCGGGAACCUCCCCUACGCUCAUGUCUUGCUCGUGCAUUUCUGAGCUCCCCGGCAGUUCAGCCUCCCUUGUAUUAAAUCCUGACAGGAAGCUUGGAUUAAGACCUCGGUAGUGCUAAAGCCGUUGCUCUCUG